AAAAAUUUACUGGAAUUAUUUUACAUACUUUGAAAAGCCCUAUGCUAUGGCAAGGUUAGAAAUGAGUCAAUUGAGGCACACAGAGAUGAUAUGAUUUGCUUAAAGUUUGACGCUGUUCAGUGUCACUUUCUCCUAAGAACUUCUUUCUCUCAUAUCUUUGCUAGCUAUAACAUUUAAUUUUGUGCCCAGAAUCCAUCUGAAUGACUGGUCUCUACAUUUCCCCUACAGGCUCUCACACAAGGAGAAGCAUCAAGAGGUCAUGAUUCCUUCCCUGCAAUUUACUUCCAGUUUCGGUCCGCCUUACAAAGGUAGUUGUCCUAUCGUAAGUCUCUCUGCAGCAGAUGAGAGAUCAGGGUGUAGGUGUGUG
rnacentral:lncRNA from 1 species